rnacentral:rRNA from 1 species
UACGAAGGGGGCUAGCGUUGCUCGGAAUCACUGGGCGUAAAGCGCCCGUAGGCGGAUCUUUAAGUCAGGGGUGAAAUCCUGGAGCUCAACUCCAGAACUGCCUUUGAUACUGGGGAUCUCGAGUCCGGAAGAGGUGAGUGGAACUCCGAGUGUAGAGGUGAAAUUCGUAGAUAUUCGGAAGAACACCAGUGGCGAAGGCGGCGCACUGGUCCGGUACUGACGCUGAGGUGCGAAAGCGUGGGGAGCAAACAGG